rnacentral:SRP_RNA from 1 species
CCCUGUAGUCUCAGCUACUGGAGAGGGUGAGGCAGCACUGCUUGAUGCUUGAGCCCAGGAGUUCUGGACUGUAGUGUACUGUGUCCAUCAAGUGUCAACAGUAAGUUUGGCAUAAACACAGUAACCUUCCAGGAGCAGGGGAACAGAUAGUUGCCUAAGGAAGGGUGAACUGGCCCAAGUCAGAAAUGGAGCAGGUCAAAACUCCUAUGCUGAUCAGUAGUGGGAUCAUGUCUGUAAGUAGCUACUGCAAUCUAACCUAGACACCAGAGCAAGACCCCACAUCGU